UACGUAGGUGACCAGCGUUGUCCGGAUUUACUGGGCGUAAAGAGCGCGCAGGCGGUCGUUCAAGUCGAGUGUGAAAGCCCCCGGCUCAACUGGGGAGGGUCAUUCGAUACUGAUCGACUGGAAGGCAGGAGAGGGAAGCGGAAUUCCCGGUGUAGUGGUGAAAUGCGUAGAUAUCGGGAGGAACACCAGUGGCGAAGGCGGCUUCCUGGCCUGUUCUUGACGCUGAGGCGCGAAAGCUAGGGGAGCAAACGGGGAGUUAA
rnacentral:rRNA from 1 species